rnacentral:rRNA from 1 species
GAUCAUGGCUCAGGAUGAACGCUAGCUACAGGCUUAACACAUGCAAGUCGAGGGGAACGAUAUUGGAAGCUUGCUUCCGAUAGGCGUCGACCGGCGCACGGGUGAGUAACGCGUAUCCAACCUGCCCGUCACUUGGGAAUAACCUUGCGAAAGUAAGACUAAUACCCAAUGAUAUCCCACGAAGGCAUCCGAAUGGGAUUAAAGAUUUAUCGGUGAUGGAUGGGGAUGCGUCUGAUUAGCUUGUUGGCGGGGUAACGGCCCACCAAGGCAACGAUCAGUAGGGGUUCUGAGAGGAAGGUCCCCCACAUUGGAACUGAGACACGGUCCAAACUCCUACGGGAGGCAGCAGUGAGGAAUAUUGGUCAAUGGGCGAGAGCCUGAACCAGCCAAGUAGCGUGCAGGAUGACGGCCCUAUGGGUUGUAAACUGCUUUUAUAAGGGAAUAAAGUGAGUCUCGUGAGACUUUUUGCAUGUACCUUAUGAAUAAGGACCGGCUAAUUCCGUG